GGCAGCUUCCUUAAAGCCGCAGCCGCGGCGGGAGCUUGGGGUGCCGGGCGGUGGCUACAUCAGGCGGCCUCCGCACGCUGCCCCCACCCCCAUCGCUCGGCCGCCCCAAACUUGCUUACGUCCACCCUGCUCUCCUUCUGACCGACCCCAGGAUAUCUGGAGAGAUGUGAAAAGUGUGCUGACGCGGAAGAAGUCGGUUUUUCCGCGAGCAAAGUGUCGUCCCCUCACGCUCUCCACCUGCAGCUCCAGCAGGCUAACCUGGGCUUGUU
rnacentral:lncRNA from 10 species